UACGUAGGGGGCAAGCGUUGUCCGGAUUUAUUGGGCGUAAAGAGCGUGUAGGCGGCCACACAGGUCAGCUGUGAAAACUCGAGGCUCAACCUCGAGACGUCGGUUGAAACCGUAUGGCUAAGAGUCCGGGAAGAGGAGAGUGGAAUUCCCGGUGUACGCGGUGAAAUGCGCAGAUAUCGGGAAGAACACCCGUGGCGAAGGCGGCUCUCUGGGACGGUACUGACGCUGAGACGCGGAAAAGCGUGGGGAGCGAACAGG
rnacentral:rRNA from 1 species